GGAGAGAUACAGGGGAUGGAGGAGAUGAGAAGAGAUACAGGGGAUGGAGGAGAUGGGGAGAGAUACAGGGGAUGGAGGAGAUGGGAAGAGAUACAGGGGAUGGAGGAGAUGGGGAGAGAUACAGGGGAUGGAGGAGAUGGGAAGAGAUACAGGGGAUGGAGGAGAUGGGAAGAGAUACAGGGGAUGGAGGAGAUGGGGAAAGAUACAGGGGAUGGAGGAGAUGGGGGAGAGAUCUGGGAGAUGGAGGAGAUUUGG